rnacentral:rRNA from 1 species
UCCGUUGAAAGAACUAACAAGGAUUCCCCUAGUAACUGCGAGUGAAGCGGGAAAAGCUCAAAUUUAAAAUCUGGCGGUCUUCGGCCGUCCGAGUUGUAGUCUGGAGAAGCGUCUUCCGCGUCGGACCGUGUACAAGUCUCUUGGAACAGAGCGUCAUAGAGGGUGAGAAUCCCGUCUUUGACACGGACUACCGAUGCUUUGUGAUGCGCUCUCAAAGAGUCGAGUUGUUUGGGAAUGCAGCUCAAAAUGGGUGGUAAAUUCCAUCUAAAGCUAAAUAUUGGCGAGAGACCGAUAGCGAACAAGUACCGUGAGGGAAAGAUGAAAAGCACUUUGGAAAGAGAGUUAAACAGUACGUGAAAUUGCUGAAAGGGAAACGAUUGAAGUCAGUCGCGUCGUUCAGAACUCAACCUUGCCUUCGGGCUCGGUGCACUUUCUGUUUGACGGGCCAGCAUCAGUUUUGACUGUCGGAAAAAGGUCUUCGGAAUGUGGCACCUCCGGGUGUGUUAUAGCCGUUGGUCGUAUACGACGGUUGGGACUGAGGACCGCAGCACGCCUUUUGCCGGGGUUCGCCCACGUACGUGCUUAGGAUGCUGGCGUAAUGGCUUUAAACGACCCGUCUUGAAACACGGACCAAGGAGUCUAACAUGCAUGCGAGUGUUUGGGUGGAAAACCCGAGCGCGUAAUGAAAGUGAAAGUUGGGAUCCCUGUCGUGGGGAGCACCGACGCCCAUACCAGACCUUCUGUGACGGAUAUGCGGUAGAGCAUGUAUGUUGGGACCCGAAAGAUGGUGAACUAUGCCUGAAUAGGGUGAAGCCAGAGGAAACUCUGGUGGAGGCUCGUAGCGAUUCUGACGUGCAAAUCGAUCGUCAAAUUUGGGUAUAGGGGCGAAAGACUAAUCGAACCAUC